GGCAGGCCACCUUGAACCAAUUACAAACAUAAGGGGCAGAGACAGAGUUUACUUUAUUGUCUGAAGAGGAAAAUCCUGUCUGGAAACCAUUUCUUCCUAGCACUGCCUGCACUGCACGCUCUCCCCUUCAAAACACAUCUUGAGAAAAAUUUGACAAAGAGUUCUUCUUACACAAGUUACAUGGAUGUUGCUGUGCUACAAGAAAAAUACUUAUUUGGAGACAGACUGCAUCCAUUGUCUGUUGUGACUCAGUAAAGACUUCUGACUCCCUUUGCAAGAUUAUAACCUUGAAACAAAGCUUGUGAGGUAGAGGAAAAAAGAGGGCAUCUUCUAUGGCAGUUACUAAGAGCGGUUUUACAGAGAAGACAGUAAGAACUUUCAACUAGGCUCAGCCAGCAAGAGAGAAAUCCCUGAGAGAAGCAAAAAUCACUCACGGCUGCAUCCCAGAGACACCACUGAACAUCUUGCGAUUGGUUUUGUUGGGGCAAGAGUGCACUCUGUCAGCUUAACCUGGAGCUGAUCUACAAGGCAGACUUGCUGACUUCAGUGGGAACUUAGCAGUGCAAGAUCUGGAAGUAAAAAUUGAAUGAAGACAUUAACAUCUGUUCACCUGGAAAGAGUACCUGGAUUUUUUUUUGGCUUACUUUAUACCCAGUGCUGAAUAAAACAGGCAAUGGCAUGGUUAUUCACAGAAUAUUGUGAAAUGGAUCAUUUUGAACAACCCACUAGAGAGAUUAAGAAUAGAGGAGAUACCUGAUUUUCUGAACUAUACAUUGAAAUUCCAUCUUUGAAUAGUAGCAGUCAAGCAGAGCUUCAGCUGCAUAAAAGGGGACUACACAAAUGCUUCUAGCAUACUUAAAAGCCUCUUUGUUAUACUGAAGAGACAAACUUAAUAUAAACUAUAAAAUGAACCUCAUUAUACAAUGCUGAGACUCCUACCGAAGCAAUAUCAUGACAGUACCUUAUAAGCUUUGUGCUGAACGAGUGUACUGUUUUUGCCCUCAUUUCUCCUGUCUUCCUGUAAGGCUGAAAAUUACCUAUUUUGGCCUCGUCUCAUACCAUAGCUUUCACUUGGUUAUGGGUUCUCAGGAGCACACUUUGGACUAGUGUUUUACAGAGACAUAUGGUACAGAUGUUCUGUGAAUCCUUCUAGACUAAAUGUCUAUUUACAUCAGUUGCCUGUUAUGCUAACACAGUAGACUAAAUGACUUGUCCUUAAUCUGUAUUCUUAGGGAAAAACCUUUAGCUUUAAAUGCUCUGUCCUACUAUUCUCUGCUAUGGAUGCUCCAAAUUCUUUCUCCUCACUCAAAUGGGCUUUAGGAUGCAAUUCUCCAAAAAUGAUAGUAACAAAAUGUCAUGACUUUAAAUCUCCCAAGAAUCAUUUCUCAUGUAGCUUGCUCUGAAAGUAAUCCCUUCUAUUUAUUAACAUAGAAAUUGCAACAGAUACAAAGAGCACAGCAACAUCAUUUGAUAGAGCAAAUUCUCCGCUACAAAACACUAUUUUUCAGCAUCAUCACCACCACUAUGGAUUUUCACCAGCCUGCAUGCCACGCUCACAGAAAUCUGCACCAACAGAGAUAACCCACUGUUUCACAGCUGCUACUACAGCAUCACUGCUAGGAAGAUGUUGCCCACACAGUCCACACAGUUCAUUAGGCCAAACAGAUAGAAAGCAUCAAAUCCAGACGGCAUAGUGGGUGUGGUAGGACACACUGGCAAUGUGCUCCACAGUCUUUAAACUGAUAUGGGACCUGGUGUUAUGUGUUACAAGAACAAGAUUUUCUUUUUUGGCCUGACACAAGAAGUUUGAGACUUCAGUGUAGUCAGCACCACAGUGUAGCAGUCAGGGUUGAUGGCUUGUCUGGGUUCCAGGAAAUCUAGAAGAAUCUCUCUGUUAAUAUCCCAUAAGACACUGCACAAUACUUUACUCACUGAGUAAAGUAUCUUGAACAUUUUCAGUGGAGAAUUAACAUUUCAUCACUCCAUGGACUGCCAUUUUGACUCUGGCUCAUAGUGGUGACAUUACACCUUAUCUCUCAUCCAGAAAACUGUCACCUUCAGCCUCAUAUUUGUUCAGUAGGUUCUGACAUACAGUGUUGCAUACGGUGUUCUUUCUCCUCUUACGUGAGCAUUCAUGGGGCCCACUUGGUGCAAACUAAUAUUCCAAGAUGGUCACCAUCGUUUUCAAUGCACCAAAGCUGAUAUUCAGCUCUAUACACAUAUCCCUGCUUGUAAUCCAUCAAUUUGCCUGGAUGAGCUGAUUGAGACACUCUCCAUUUUGCGGCGUGACAGCUGGGCAUGGUCAUACAGAACGUGGCCAUUGCCUCAUUGUACUAACACCCACCUUUUAGUUUCUAUAAACAUUCAGUAAGAGUUAAUGCAUGUUAAUAGGUGCAGUCUUUUCUGCAUGUAGGAAUAAAGUGACACACCUAUGCUUCAUAUGCACUUCCAUGUCAGAUGCCAAUUUGUCAGACUGCCCCUCUGCUGCCACCUGUUACACAGCAGUAAAAUGGAAUGAAAUACUCGCAGGAAGGGUCAGUCUCUAGUGCCAUACCAUUAACAUCUGCUUCUGAUGUUGUGGGCCAACAUCAUAAAAUAGGAGGGCAUUUCUUCUGGAGCAGUCCUCAUAGUUUUUGUUUACUUUUCCAUGCAUUGGAGGAAGUUACAGUGACACCUGAGACCUUUAAGUAAUAAAUGCUCCUGACUAGCACAGAAACAACCAACUCCACACAUACAAGAGGAGUACACAAAGAAAGUUGAAAUAAGUUUCUUUAUCUCACUGAAGUAAUGACUAGAUUUUGAAACAAGAAUUCCAUACAAAAGAAGGAUAGUAGCUUAAGCCUUUGAAGGCAAAAAAAAAAAGUCUGAUUUCUCCAUAGGAAGAUCUGAGAUAUUUCUGCAUCUGCUUCUGUUUCUUUAUUUGAUCAGGUAUUUUCAUUAUAUUAAAGGUAUUAAGCAUUCAUAAAUACAAAUAAAAGCAUUCUUAUAAAGCAGCCAAGCAAUGGCUUCCUUUGCAACCAAGAACAACUCUGAUUCUUUUCUCCCCAAUCCCAUUUUGGUUUCUUGAACAUGAAUGUCUUCAGCCAUAAAAAAAACAACACCAAUAAUAAUAAUAAUAAAACACAUAGUAAUUGAAAACUUACUGGCUAAUUUCCAUCAGCUUUGUAAAGUAUUUGUAUUUUAUAUUAUUCUCCUUCACUUGAUUCUUUUGAGCAAGUCACAGAUGAUCAAUUACUCAUUUUCUCAACCAUUAAUAAAAAUCAGGCCUUAAAUCUGAGAAAUCGCUAAGCCCUUAAAACUUCAAAGUUUGACAGCCUGAACUUCCUAUGUCAAAUGGUUAUGAGCACACUUCCAUGUCUCCACAGAUUUUAUAGCACUACUCUUGUGCAUUCUUAAUCUGAAAUCACUUUCUGCCUGAGGCUAGAACACAAAACGUAUCUUCCCAACAGAUGCAAACCUAGUUGUCAUCUAACUUACAUUAAAUGCCAUCUAAGUUAUAGUAUGUUUGUAUGUCUCUCUAUGUCAGUUGAUAGAAAUAAAAAGAAAAGUGCUCUUGGUCUACUCCAUUUAGCCAGAAAAUCCACCAAUAAAAAGGAAUAAAAAUCAGCAGAAUAUCCAAGCUGAUAAUUACUUAGUCUGCUAACAGACUCCAUUCUCAUAUUAUAAAAAUCACCUAAUACAGUGCCGGGAC